rnacentral:lncRNA from 1 species
GAGGAAGGAAUUUGUCUCAGUCCACUUCCACACCUGUCCACCUGAGCUGGGCGUUAGCCUGAGCCUUUGCCUCUGUAUGGAUCCCGCAUUAAAUACCCAGCUCCUCUGCGCGAUUACAGCAGCCUCCGGAGCUCUCCCAAAUUGUCACCUAGGAUGAAUAUGACAGCAAACAAUGCUUUAAAAGGACUUUGAGUUUUAUGCAAUUUCUUGUAUAAAAGGAGAGCCUGAGUCCAUGGAAGUUGGGAUUGAACAUCCUGAAUAUGCAGUUCCUUGGAGAGCCACCAAGAAAAGACCUAAGCAAGAGACAUGAUGUCACCUUCGGGGAGGAGGCUCUUCAAGCUGUUUGGCAUGAGAAGAGGAGGAAUGAGGAGGAUCACUGGCCUUGAACCCCCAAAGAGAGGCUAGAGCACCUUUCUAGGACCCAGUCCAGGGUUUGUCUUGAACAUCCAGCUCCAAAAGAGAUGCUGUGCAGAUUCAAGCUGCCAAGUCCUGAAGGACCUGAGGGAAAACCCAACCCCAAGCAGCCCAGAUGGUAUCUGAGUAUCCUGUGCCCUACCCACGAAGAUCAGGAGCCUAAAGGCUAGAGCUCACUGCAGAACCAGACCAAAGACAGUUUAAGGGCCAUUGAGCCAAGCCUUCCUGACCUCCCAUGGAGAGGGGAAGAGAGAACAGGACCU